AUGUGGCAGUUGGUUAGGAGAGUUAUAGCAGGUAGGCUGAUUUAUGCAGGUAGGCAGGAGGUACCACAAGGUAGCGUAUUUGUGGAUAUGGUGUCAAUUUUUGCGGAUGCAGGGCUGUUUGAAUUGGGAAGGAGAGAGGGAGUUAUCACAGUUAGAAAUUGGUUCUGCUAUGAUAUGGUUAUUUGGUUGCGGAAGCAUAGUGCCAUGGCCUCGAUGAAAGAAAACGGAAGCGAUGAGAAGGAAUCUUGA